AAAAAACCAGUAGACAGAAAAAAGAAGCUCGGAUGCGUCGGAGUAAUCUGAUAGAUAUCAAACUACUAUAAUUGACCUAAAUCUAUCACAUUUGGCACAAAUAUAUUUUUAUUACUUUACUUUAUUAAAUGGGGUGAUAGAGGGAUCACUUAUGUGCUGACCAACUAUGGCACCACCCCAUUAGUAUAUAGUUAGUAUCCUAAUUCGUAGUAAACUUUGACACUGGACUUUGAGAAAAAAAAUAAUUAAUUUAAAAAUAAAUAUAACACACAAUUGGGUAGAAAAAAUCAUUAGUAAAAAAAAAGUAAGGCUCGGUAAUCUGAUAGAUAUCAAAGAGUUGUGAUAAACCCAAAUCUAUUAUAUUUGGCAUAGAAUUACCUUUGUUGUUUUAUUUUAUUGAAUGGGCUUUGAGAAGUUGGAACUCUCAAUCUUAGCCAACUGCUUCAUCACCUCAUUAUUAUUAUGUGAUUAGUAUCUCUGUUUCAAAAUUAACUUUAAUAACGACCAUAAGAAAAUAAUUAAUUUUAAAAUAAAUAAUAGAUAUAAUUAGAUAGAAAAAGCCAAAAAGGCAAAAUAUAAUAUAGUUUGGUUUGGAUGCAAUCAGACCAAAUCUAUCACAUUUGAAAUCGAUACGCCGACCUCUCGACCACAGCAUCACACAUCAGACGGUACAAACCAACUGCGCCACAACCCCUUCUUUGAUGGUUCGGCUUAAAGAUAAAUAGAUAUUAUGAGAUUACCCUUCUCAAUAGAACAGAAUUGCAUAAUAGGAUUGGUCAGCUAAAGGGACCCAUUCUCUGGCCAUCAUCAUCGACCAAUAGCAGUCGGCGUUUCAUGGGCGUCAUCAUGUUCCGUAGAAAAAGCUAAGUUGAUACAAUUAGCAGCUCUGUUGCAUCACAGUAUGCCUUGUUUUGGAUGUAGCUGCUGACAUGGACAUUCUAUACUCUGUACCCAUGUCC
rnacentral:lncRNA from 1 species